rnacentral:lncRNA from 1 species
GGGAGCCCCUGCGGCUGGUGUCCAAGCGCUUCGGCCUGGGGAUCUCCACCUGCCACAAACUGGUGCUGGAGGUCUGCGCCGCCAUCAAGUCGGUGUUGAUGCCCAAGUUCCUCCAGUGGCCCUCCGAGGCGGCGGCGGAGGCCAUCAAGGCGCGGUUCGAGGCGGCCUCCGCCAUCCCCAACGUCGUCGGCGCAAUGUACACCACCCACAUCCCCAUCAUUGCCCCGAAGAUCAGCGUCGCCGCCUACUUCAACAAGCGCCACACGGAGCGCAACCAGAAGACC